CGGACGGGUGAGUAACGUAUGGGAAUUUACCGAAGGGAGGGGGACAACAGUUGGAAACGGCUGCUAAUACCGCAUAACGUCUAGAGACCAAAGGGUUUCGACUUGCCAUUUGAUGAACCCAUAUGAUAUUAGCUCCUUGGUGUGGUAAUGGCUCACCAAGGCGACCAUUUCUAACUGGUUUGACAGGAUGACCAGCCACACUGGGACUGAGACACGGCCCAGACUCCUCCGGGAGGCAUCAUUGGGGAAUAUUGCACAAUGGGGGGAACCCUGAUGCAGCCAUGCCGCU
rnacentral:rRNA from 1 species